rnacentral:misc_RNA from 1 species
UUAGACUGCAGUGAGUGGGA